CAUUAAAAGUAGACGCUAUAUAUUUAAACUUUAACUCUUAAAAAAUAAAAAAGUAUUGUAUUGAUAUCAAUACAAUCGCACUGUUAAUUUUAAUUUGGAUUUUAAGGUACAAUAAACUAAAAUGUUCUUAUUUAAAAGAACUCCUGUCUCUUCCUAACCAAACCUCAGGAUUGAGUAGAGGUAAGAAUGUUAGAUGAUAGAAAUUCCCUUUGAACGACACAUUCUCACACAAAUGUAGUAACUACACCCACCUAACUCAACUUCCUUUAGCCAAAUGGUACGUUUUGAUGAAACACACAUUUAAUUCUAGUAAUUGAAUGAAAGCUCUGCCAUUGCCAUGUUUUAAAUGACUACUGAAAGCGGGUGAUCUCAGAAAGCCAGUUAGAACAGAACUAAGUUGAUAGGUAUGAACCUAUAGGUUUAAUAUCUCUUGGUUUUUGGACCCAUGCAGUGUCACAUCUAACACUCUCAACCCUACAAAUUAUUCAUCUUUUUUUUUUUCUUUUUCUCUCACUUCCAUUAGAUGAGGUGCAGAAGUUGGACGGUAUAAGGCGUAUCUCUUCUGAGCAAACUCAAACCUCAUUAAUACUUAGGAUUCCCAUGUGCCAUUGCCAAUAGUGUGUAAAUUUCUUUAUAAAACUACCACUGUAGGUUCACUGAUUGCUUCAAACCCAAUUCGUCCAUUCCCUGCCAAGAGGGUAUUCAGUUCAAUAGGCUUCUUCCCCUCUACCUAUUUGACUAUUUCUACAGAGUCUCUCUUUGGGACAAUGCUUGUUUUUUUGUGAAAAAUAAAGGGGGAGGGCUUGAUUUCUUUAUCUCACUAGGGAAUGUUGCCUUUCUCUUUUGGGAAAUUUCCUAUCUGUUUCCCUCUUUGAGUAUAUGAUAGUUUGGGUUCUAUUUGAUUGGUUGGGUUAAUUGUUGGGUGUCUGUCUUUUUCUUGGGAACAAAAGAUUGAUUCUUUUGUAGCUUCAUGCAUUGAUGGGUGAGUAAGGCUGCUCUAUAAUUUGGACCUAUGUUGUCAUGGUAUUUUUCAUCUAAAGUCUUGCAUGUGGGAAUGAGUUUAUGUAACGCAGCCAAGGAUGACUUGCCGGCAAAAUUAAGGCACUAUAUUACAUAUAAUCAUGAAUCUAUAACCGAGUUUAUAUUAAAAUUAUCAUAUACAUAUUAUUUAUCAUACACAUUCUUGACUGAAUUGAUCGGCAAGUCGUCACUGGCUACAAAACUGCCUCCUUUUCUCAUGCUAGAUUUGUGAUGAUAAUCUCAGUGGUGGUGGUGGUGGUGGUGGUGACAGAUGAUAAUUACCAUUGGUACUUAUUUUUGGUGGUGGUGGUGACUUGCAUAUGAGGUUUUUCGUCCUUUACAUUGAGUUCAUUCUUUUCCUCUAACCAUUGCAGAUUUUGCAGAUGAAACCAUAGCCUUUUGCAUUUGUUGUCAUUUUCAGGUUGCAGCAUCCUCUACAUCUCAGCUUCAAGCUGCUCAAUAGUGCUUGAUAUAAAAAACUUCUUAUCUCUAUCUAGGUUAUUUUUUAAAUUUCACAACUUAUUUAUAUUAGUUAAUUAUAAUAAAAUAUCCUUUAGGAUAGACACAUGACACUAGAUGUGAUCUAAUUCGUUUUAGGAGAGAAACAAGAUACGCAGUACAAGUUUUUAUUUUUAUUUAUUUGUAUUGAUGAAAUUUGUGAAUAGAUUUAAACCAUACAUAUCAAGCUAUUUAUAUACUUUUAAAUUUCAAAGUUAUGACACUAUGCUUUGGUGAAAGUAGUCUUCUUUGCUAUAACUCAGCUCAAUCUAACAGUUCUUUAAUGUGGAUAAGAUCAUAUGCACCAUCAAUCAUCUUUUAACAACCAUUUUCCCCUCAACUGAUUCUCUAUAUAUUUUGGUGCCCCUUUUCGAUACAACUUGGAAACGGUGGGCCUUGGGGGAUAUUUUCUUCUAUACGAAUGUAUGGUUGUAACUUGUAAAUAUACAAAUAUUAUUUAGCAAAAAAAAAAAAAAAAAAAAAAAAAAAAACUAAUAUUGAGCAUAAUUGCAGCAUCACAGAACAAUUUUAGGACAAACUAUCACAUUCUUUUCUCAGCAUUCACAGGAAUUAAAGUGUUAGUUGCACGUGUUAAUAUAUGUGUAAGCAGUGAUGGAAAUGGGGUUGAUCACCAUAAUAGCAAGGUGAACCCUCAUACACUGAACAGACGCAAUUGCUCAAAUAGUCAAUGUUUGUUAGGACACUAACGAAGGUGUACGUGUUGAAGAGGAAGGAAUUUCAUUCCAACAAUUAGUCAAGUGAGAUACCCUCACGGAAGACAUCAAUCAACUAAUGGUGGUUUUCAUUCCCGGCAUAUGUUUUUAUUUUUGGUUUUGUUUUGGGGGGGUGUUGGGACCUUGGCUUAGCAUUUUGCCAAGAUGAAUUUGCUAUCCAAUGUUACUGUCCGAACAUAUAGUUGUAUUGAGUUUAAUUGUUCUUAAAAAAAAACACCAUAUAUGCUUUAUUGGUUUCAUGCAACCACAUGUUUGAAUUUAUUUGGAAAACCUAAAUUACACACUAUAUAUUAUAUGUAAUCAUGAAUUUAUCACUGAGUUUGUAUUAAACUUAUUGUAUAAACUAUAAAUAUUAUUUAUCAUACAUGUUCAUGACUAAGUUGAUAGGCAAGUCAUCACUAGCUACAAAAGUGACUCCUUUCUCAUGGUAGAUUUGUGAUGAUAAUCAAGGAUUGUUUACGGGUUGGUUCGGGUCGGGUUUGUGCUCAAUCUAGAAUCGACCCGAUCACUUUGAGUCUCCCAUAUCUGGACUAGCCGUUGACCGGUAAAAGGAGUUAGUUCGGGUGGUUAGAUCUCCUCAGGUACAGGUAGGUCCUCGAUUGGAGUCGGAAUGUGUGAAACUAAGCCGAAUUUUGAUGAAAUCUGUCAGAUUUGGCAAGAUCUCAUUGGAUUUUGACUAAUCGGACAAAAUUGACCGGCAAAACACUCCUAUUGGUGGAAAAUGGCUACUUUCCAGUGUAUAUAUGGUUGGGUCAGUUGAAAAUAAGUUUUUCAUGCUCAAACCCACCAACCGACCCAUCGAUCUUGAGUUGUAGGGGUGGAGACUUGCUGCUGAUUGUCAUUGGCAUUGGGUCGUUCUCAAAUUGGAUUGGUUGGGUGGGUUGGAUGGCAAGUUUGGUUGGACACCCCUAAUGAUAAUCUCAAUAAUGAUGGUGGUGGUGACAACGAUGAUGAUAAGUACUUAUUCUUGGUGAUGACGAUGUUAAUAAUCUCAGAUUUUGCAUUUGAGGGUUUUCGUCUAUUAUAUAAAUGAUUUAAUUUGUUUUUGGAGGUAUGUGUUAAACUGUGUAAAACAGUUUGUGUAAAAAGUUUAACCUUUCACAUAAAGUUAUCUUAUUUGAGUUUCUCUUGCUCA